AUGAAGAAACAAGGUGAACACAAGAAGAAAUACAAACGACGAAGGGUAGAAAAAGAACAAGACGAUACCAACAGCGAAGGUUCAGAUACCAAUGAUGACGACGAUGACAGGGAACAUGAUGCAGAUUUCAUUCCUACAGACGACGAUGAUGCCGAAGAGCAUGACACCGACGCAGAACAUGACGACGAUAACAAAUCAGGACAGAAGGACAGAAAGAGGAGAAAGACAUGCAGAAAAGAAUUGGCAGCACCAACAGUUGAUGAAGAACAACAAGAAACAGACGAAGAGAAAUGCCAAAUCAAGGCAGGGGCAGCAUUCGCUCAUGUCAAGAAAGCAUGGAGUUUACUUAAAGACCGUCACAGGCAAGAUAUUAGGACGGCAGGAUUUGGCAGCAUAGAGAACUGCAAAAUAACGGGCUCCAUCUGUAGACCACUUGCAGCACACAUCUACGACAACCUGGACAUAGAAAGCAUGACAAUAACCUUCGGUGAUGGUACCGAAGACAAGAAACUCAAGAUUACCAAGGAAGCUAUACACAAGGUGUUUGGAUACCCAAACGGCACGGAAAAGUCAGCACCAAGGCCAGCGAAGAGCCCAACUUCAAUGAAAAAACUGAUGUUAGACCUUGGCUUCAAAAUUACAAAUUUCAGGCCAAAAGAACUGUUCACGGAGCUAAAUGAAUUGGUGGAACUAGAUGACGAACAGUCAGACAGGAAAUCAAUUAAAAUAUUUUUCCUUAUUUUUUUCCACAACAUUGUUUGUAGGUCAAGCGCCGCUAUCUUCGCCCGACAAGCUAUAAUGGUAGAGGACAUGGACUAUCCAGAGAUGGCAAAGAUGGAUUUCUGUGAGGAACGUACCAAUAGCACGCCAGGCCAAGAUGAACUCCAACAGCAGGAUGGCAUCAACAACCCCAAAAACACGAAUGAACACAACAAACAAAGCAACCUCACAACAAACAAUGCUACAACAACAACUACCCCAACACAAGCACAAGAUACGAUCGACGUCAGAACCUGUGAAGAGGCUCAGCUGAAGAACAAUCAAGUCAGCAGCCCCGCCAACCAAAUGCAAGAGCCUAACCCACAAUCAACCAUUAGCAUAACAAACAACAAAGAAGAAGAAAACAACAAAGAGGAGGUAUCACAAGCACUGCAAGACCAAGAGACAACCCGUGUUGAAAUUGAACCCCAUAGUGAACCUCAAACAGACGAAAAUGUCACAGAACAGGAACUUUGUGUGCAAGAGAUUUCCAGCGCCACAACAUUGCAGAUCACCAUCACGAGUACAAAGGAGAAAGCGCAAGAUAUCCCAGCAGAUGAGAAACAAGAGACUGUUAUACCUAACAAAGAAACAGUAGAUGCAGGCACAAAUAACCCAGUCAUCAACACGGAGGAAACAAACGAGUACGCUGAUCUCAAAGAUCAAGAACUUCAAACAACAACAUCUGAAGAGGUGAGGAACAAGAAGCUCAAGAAACCAUCAACAAUCAAGACCAUCAAACACAACCAGAGGAGCCCAAUGAAGAACCCAAACAUAGAGAGGAGACCAAUGAGCAAAAGGAGGACACUGAAGAAGGGCACAAUGGAGAAAGGGGACAAAGAUAGUGAUUCCGUCAACAAAGCCAUCGAAGAGCUGUACAACGCUGUAUGCAAGCCAUGGACACAGAGAGAAAUGGAUGAGCUUUUCAUUACAAUGAACAAGUUUGAUGUCAAUCUAGGCCAUGUCGCCGAAAGUUUCAAGGUCGAUAUGCUGAAGUAUGAAGUUGAUAUGGGAGACAAGGAAAUGCAACAGACAGAAUGUUGCGUACUAGAAGAGUUUCCGCCAAAUCCCAAGCCAAAAGAACAUAUUAUGCAUGCGACAACCACAAAAGAGCAUGAAGUUAUUGAUAUAUCCAGCACUGAUUUAAAAGAGGAUGGCACAAGCAACGACGUACCAAAUACACAAGAACAGGUUUUCGAGCAGAAGAAACAACAUGUUCUUCUUCAAGAAGAAACAGGCUCGACAAGCAAUCAGCAACGCAUCUACAGCACCAUCUCUCUAGACUUCCUAAAACCCAAAACAAUGGAAAAGCACGACGAAGUUGAUGAAUUUCUUUCAAGCCUUAACCCGCUCCAACUAGAGCAAGAAUCAGGAGAACAUUCAAUGCCUCAAUCAUCUGAGGACAACUCAGACAAGAAAAUCUUGGUCAAGAAGAGACCGGGUACCCAAUGCGGACACUUCAUGGUUCAAUUUGCAAAAUACUGGAAUGACAUUGAUCUCAUAAAAGAUGAUGAGGAUUUCGAUGUACCUAGGUUUAAAGAAGUCUUCAACACCAUACUAGGACAAACAAUGACUGCCAAGGGUACAAGAUGGCAGAUUCAUACCGUGCAAGAUGUUUCAGUGGUAGAAAAGGGAGAAUCAACAUUUGCUGUUUUAAAGCUUGCAUUCAUCUACAAUGGUGAAAAGUUUGUCGAAGACCUGGAAGAUUUGACAGAUGAGGUCAAAGACUGGAGGGCAGAGGCAAUGUACAUUCUCUUAAGUAGCGAGAUGAAUCAAGUCAAAGCUAGUGAAAUGGGUGACAAGAUUAGCAAGAUCUUGAGCAAAAAUGAAGACUAA
rnacentral:rRNA from 1 species